CCGGGUGCGGGUCGCUUUUCGUAGUCUCCGCGUUUAUAUCCGUAUAAAUCGGGAAUUUCGGGAAUUAAAUAAAAAAAUUAAAGUGAGUGCAGUUUUGUAGUGAAAGUGUAAGUAAAAGUGAAAGUGAAAGUGUAGUGUUUAGUGCAAAAAAAAGUGUGUGUUUAGUGUAAGAAAAUGUGUGGGCUCAAAGGCGGCACCGGCGGCGGCGAAUUGGAAAAAUGGCGAAAAUGGCAGCAUGGCGUACAUGGCGGCGGCGAAUUGGCGAAAAGGCGAAUAUGGCAGCUUGGCGUACAAUGAGUACAUGGCAGCGGCGAAUUAGUAAAAAGGCGAAUGUGGCAGCUUGGCGUACAAAGAGUACAUGGCGGCGGCGAAUUGGCAAAAAGGCGAAUAUGGCGAUAUGGCGAAAAUGGCAGCUUGGCGAAAAAGUGAAGUGAUGUGUAGUGUUGUUGUAAUUGACUAAAAAUAAACAACAAAGUGUGUGUUUAAUGUAAGAAAAUGUGUUGGCGAAAAUGGCGAAAAAUGAAGCAGCUCGGCGAAUAAGUGAAGUGUAGUGGUCUAAUGUGUUGGCGAAAAAAGAGGCAAAAUGGCAUAAAAUGGCAAUAUCUAAAUAAGCAUAUUAUAUUGUGCGUAAAGUCUUUUUUUUAAUGUGUAAAAGUCAUUGCCUCAGUUCCAGCAAAGUGUGUGUAAAAAUUUGGCGCUAAGUUUGUCCCUUUCCCACUCCAGCAUAAAAAAAGCGCAGUGAAAGUGAAAAAGGAACGAGCGUUCCAAGUGAAGUGAGUGAUAGGGUGAGGCAUUUCAAAUCUGCUGAUCUGACUCUCUCUCAUCUUGUGUGUUCACACGAACUUCCGUCCACUUAUGCCUCACCUUAAAUUAAUCUCAACAAAAUGUGCGCUCGUAUUGGAAAUUUCGUGCGUUUCGUUUUCGGUUUGCGCUUUCGGUGCGGGUUCCGUCGUCGAAGUCGCCGUGCGGUGUCUCUCUUCUCUUCUAACGGGACAAUAUCGAAUGCACUCUCUUCGAAUCGCAGAGCGAACUUUAUGUGCGGCGUAGCAAAAGAGCAGCGCACAAGGAAAACUAACGGGACAAUAUCGGUUUCUAAUAGAAUAUACUCUUUUCGAAUCGUCAGAGCGAAUUUUAUGUGCGGCGUAGCAAAAGAGCAGCACACAAGGAAAACUAACGGGACAAUGUCGGUAAGGA